rnacentral:lncRNA from 1 species
AACCGAAGCUGCCCAUCUUCGACCGACCGAGCUGCCACGUGCACCUUCACCAUUCAACCAGCAAAAUUCAACGCUGUCUUCACCACCGAAAUUCUUCAGCAACCGAACUCUGCAUCACCGCCAGCACGUGCGCACGCCUGCCAAGCCCACGCCCCCGCACGAAGCUCUCGUUUGACCGAAGCCCAGCCGCUUGCUGCCACUCGUCCGCUUCUCCAUCAGCUCGCCUCUCCAAGGUCAACAAAACCACGUCUCCUUCCACCGAGCGAAGCCCCACGCGUCCACCGAGCCCUCUCUGCCCCGAAGACCCUCAGCUCGACGCCAGAAAACGGCCAGCUCGCCCUCUCCUCCCACGCGUGGUCUUCUCCAGCGAAGUUGGUCUUCAAUUCUCGAGGCCCAACAGCAGCCUUUGCUGCUUCUUGUUCGGCCCAACGGCCCGAGCAAAGUCAGCCCAGCAAAUUUCUUUCGGGCCCAACAAAGCCA